AGGAGAUACCAUCUCCCCAGUUCCCACUAUCACCAAGGAAGUACUGUGUUGGUGAAAAUGUGUCCUUUGGUGUCCUACCCCUUUAAUUUGGGCAGCUGGGCACACCAGCACUUCAAACCUGAAAGCAAAUUCAAUUAUCUUGCUUAUGCCUUUGGUAGUCUAAAAAUAUGCAGGGCCACCUGGGGUUACUCAGGUGUGAACCUGAGCUGUUCCUGUGGUGUGGGGCAGUUCUCUCAUGAGGACUGAGGGGCAGCCGUGGCCUCCCAGGGGGUACUUGCUGGUGUUGUCUGCUGUGGGCAGUUCGGCUGCCCAGCCAGGGAAUUGUGUGGAGCAGGGGUAGGACACCUCUUUCUUGGUAAGGACUGCAUACUUCUUUCAAAUUAUAGAAAAUAGACCUGGUGGGCUGCACCGGAACCUCUCCCUCUCCCUUUCUUUUCCCACCCUGUUAUGUUCAUCGGUACUAACGUGGGCUGUAUUACAUGAACCCAGUGGUGCCCAUUCUGGAAGUGAAGGGAUGGGAUUUUCUGUUCCCCUACCACCUCUGGGGACAGCUGGCAGCAGGGAAAGCUGCUCCCCUGCAGAGGACCUGGCUGCUUAUGGGAGGGAGCUUUGCUUUACAGCAACAAGAUGUUUUCCUUUGAGCAUUAACUCCAGUUUGACCUUGGGCUUUUUAGGCAGCCAAACACAUACAUAUGCCUCUUAGGCAGAGUUAAGAUACUGUCUUAAUGCAUAUACAGAUGCAAAGUGCCCAGCCACACACUUCUACGUGUUUUGGUUGUCUUCUGGGUCUCCUUUUCACUAUUACAAUUUUUCUGCAAAUAGCGGUUUCAGCACGGGCAGCUGGUUCUUCGUGCUGUGCUCAGGUCAUUGAUUCGUUUACCAGGAUUAUAGCCUUGCAAAGUAAGUACAGCUUUUCUUCAUUCUCUGAUAUUUUAAUUUAUGCCGAGCUAAUAGUUAACAAAUCUUGGCAGUGAAACAUAAUUGUAUGGAGGGAGUGGGAUAAGGAAAUUUGAACAGAAAAUGUACGUAUGGAAUUGAAGAAGCUUUUUUUGCCUUCCCAAAUGACAGUGUUUUGGUUUCAUUUCAAAACUGCUGCAAUUGCUAUGCUAGAUUUCUUUCUCUCUGGAAAGAUUCAUUGGAAGCAGUGAAUAAGAUCUGGCAGGUGAGACAUCAUGGGCAUUAGGAAUUAUUAAAAUAUUGUGGUUUAUUGCAAAUGGCUAUUCCCAUAUCAGAAAAAGCAGGUUGUGUAUGAUGCCAUGAAAAUCACACAUGUGCCAAAGUAUGAUUUAGGUUGGUUUUUAAGCCUCUGCUAGAGAGGAAUAUUCCUCUCCUUUUCUGCAGAGGUGUGUGCGCUCUGCUCUGUUUGCUCCAAGUUAUUAACCAAAUGACUAAUCUGCACUCAUUUAAAGUGAAGGACAGGAACUUAGGCCUAGUAAUUACAAAUUUAUUUUCAGUGCGACCAUUUAGUUUGAACAGUUCAUUGGCUACUGAAGUACAACAAAGCCUAUUGCAGUGGCUUGUUUCUCUUUCCUUCCUGGAGUGACUUUCCCUGCUCUUUUGCUGACAGUGCUUUUUCCUCAACCAUAUGGGGUGCUCUGGUCCCGCAUCAGUCUGAUAUCUUGCAUUUCUCAAUGUCUGUUCAGAGGAAAUUAUGUCCUUGUUUUUUUAUCCAGGUAGUUUGCCAGGUGAAGAGUUGUCAUUUCUGUAGAAGAAGAAAAGGCUCACAGAAAUCUUUUAUUUCCUUUGUUUCUUGUGUUUGCUGAGUAAGAGUUGAAGUGGGGUCAUGUUAAACACUUGAUCUAGUUUCAUAUUAAUGCCUCACUUGUGAAAUUUGCAUGUGGGUUGUUUCAUAUAAUUCGUCCUUUUGGAAUUUUGUUUGGACUGGAGAGACUACAGUGCUGGCACUCACAGUUCCUGAGAUAUAGACCGAAUAUAACCCCCAGCACUGGAUGGCCAGCAUUGUUGGUGCUUUAUCUGCCACAGGUGUCUUCUCCUGGAAGGACUGUUUAACUGAGACAAGAAUAAAAUAAAUACUUGCUCUGUUUUAUCGGAUUUUUCCUGCCAUACAGCUAGCUUGACUUGUCAGACAUUUCUACUCAGAUGUUGCUAUUCUUUUGAUUAUAAUUUUAAAUAUAAGUUAUAUUUAGAUUUACCCUUAGUAAGCAGAUAGUAAACAAAGCUUUCCUGGUUUUUUUUUUGGGUUUUUUUUUGGGGGGGGGGGGGGGGUUAAAUUUCAGUGAUAUCCUGGCAGCCUGUCUCUUAUACACAUCUAGAUGUGUAUAAGAGACAGGCUUUUCUUCAUUCUCUGAUAUUUUAAUUUAUGCCGAGCUAAUAGUUAACAAAUCUUGGCUNGCGGUUGUUGUAGUUGUUGUUUCAUCCACGAGUGACUAAGCAAAAAUGCUGUCUUAUACCAAUAAAAAAGUUUAAAUCAGGUUUUUCUGAACUGGUUCAGGAGCCUUUCAGCUCCCUUCUGUAUUUGAAAAUACAGAAAAGACAGUCAGUUUUAAAUAAAGCUGGGCGGAUUGCAAGCUCCAAGUGCUUAGAAGAUGCCCCACUGCUGCGGGCCUUUCUGUAACUGCUGACAUCCUGCUUUCCUGGGAAAGGAGGGACCCAACAAGAAUCCAUGCAGCAGGCCUUUUUAAAAUUUCAUUUUCAGUUUUUUGACUCCUCCCUGUUUGAGGGUUCCCUGUGAUUACUGACUCAGGAGCUACAUCUGAUUUCUGAGACUGUUAAUGGGCAGCUAAUGGGCUUUCCUCUCACUGGGAGCCUCAACCCUUCUCAGUUGUCUGGAACUGGCUUUACUGGACUUGCAAGGCUAGGGGUGCUCAAGGCUUUAAAGAGAUUUAAGAUUUUUUACUGUAAGUUCUUUUCAGUAAUAUGAAUGUUGUGAGCUCUUAAAUAUAAUAAUAAUAAUGAUAAAAAAGAAUAUGGUUAGAAUAGAAUAGAAUGGAAUAUAAUAGUCAUUAAUAAAUGGAGAAUAAAAAACUGACUGACCGGUUGAAAAAGAUGGUGGAAUAGACAUUAUCAUUUACUAUCCAGCCAAUCAUUCAAGGUUAAGGGUGCAACUGACCUUUUCUUCCCAACAAAAUGCCCUGAAUGGUCCUUAUUUCAAUAGUAGCAUUAAAAGAAAGAAAUUAGAAUGGAGAGCUUUGCCACUACCAGAAAGAGUUUCACUCUGCAUGAAAGAAGCUUUGAGAGUAUCAGCAGUUAGUGGAUGAACAAAGGUAAAUAAAUGGUUCACCAUGAAACGCCUCCUGUUUUUCUCACUGAAAAGAAACAUUGAAACUUUAUAAAAAAGGAUCGAACAUUAAUACUAUCAGAGUUACUAAUGAGAUCAGAGGAGUUUUUAAGCCAUGGUACAGCUUUUAACUGGCAUAAGAAGAAGAGUUUAAUUAAAUUAUGUAAAAUUUCCUAUUUUAUUUUCUUACUCUGAAUGUCUUGCAACCCAAGGAAGUGAAACACAGCGCAUCUACAUCUCAAAGUCAACAUUAGGCUGGAAAGGAACAAGGGGUAUUUUAAUUGGUUAUGAUUUCAUGUUGAUUUUUAGCUUGUAAGGAAGAUCCAGAGGCCUAAAUAGAAUAAUAUCAUGCCAGCCAAUACUGAAUAAAAUACUUUACUUCAUUAACAAAUUAAGUUUUUUUCAGGUGUAUGGCAUGACUCGUGAGAUUCUUUGUAUUAUUUGUCUUUUUGAGGGUGGUAGAUGUUUAUUGAAUGACGCAUUCUUGGUUCACUGGGUAAUUUUCCACCAGUUGCUCAGUAGGAAAUACCUGUGAAGUUAGUACUUGCCCCAGAUGUUCAAUUUUGGGGGGUGUUGGUGGUGUGGGGUGGGGCAGAGAGAAAGGGACUGAGAAGCAGACACAGUAUACGUGUGUUCAUGAGAGAAUGUUGAGUUAAUGGCAAAGAUAAGGUUGGUAGCCUAUGUAGGGGAAUUUAUUUAAGACACGCACAGGCACAAAAGAGCACAUUUGUGAUGAGAAAUGGCAGGGAGGCAUUUUAAGGAAUGAUUUUAUGUUUGCUUCUUUGCCCCUGUUGUUGCAAGUUACUCCCUCAACAGCAGUCUCAGUCCUUCAAACUUGUUCUGUCUUUUGCCACUGUCCUGCCUAAAGCUCUCCUCCUUUAAGGUGUGUGCUGAGCCCAUGAUUGCUGCCAAGCUCGACUUUUCUGGUAAUUAGUUGCAUUCAUGCCUGAGAAAUUGUGUCUGCAUAAAUGAGGUGGAUGGUUGCAGUGCUAGGCUGGCACUUGGUCCUCUCUUUGCACCCAUAAGAUCUCUGAGAGGUUUCCUGAACCUCAUUAUGACAUCAGCUCGAUGCCUGCUGAUGCUGCAAAAUGGAAUCUCUCAUGGAAAAUUUCUCUUUACCAAGCAGCUGCCAGAGACUGCCAGAGUGGAUUGUUGAUUGGAAGGUGGACAAGUCCAGCCAGACCCAUUUUGAAUUCAGAGUCUGGCAAAACCUCUGGAUGUUGCGAAGCGUGCUCCUCUGUAUUUUUAUGUGGAGAUAAAUUUCUCCAGUGAAAUAUGUUCAUUGUUUGCUGUCUUUAAGACAAAUUCUUUUUCUUUUUUUUUCCUUCCCCCAGUGGGAGGGGAUUUGUUAGCAAACAGUUUGUUGCUAAUACCAACAGUCAGAAUAUUUUUGCAAGAGUGCAGGGCUGGUUAGGUGUGCUUUUCAAAUGCUGACUUAAAAAGCCUUGGUUUAAUGCCAGUAUAUCUUUUUUCUUUUUUAACUUGAUUAAAUGCUGUGAAUUUCACUAACCUUUUAUACUUCAUCUUUUAGCCUAAAACAAAUUAGCUGUCACAUAAAACAAUUGCCUUACCUAAUAGAUCCAAGAACAUGUAUAAGUUAAUUAAAAUAAAAAUAAAGACAUUUAUUUUGUAAAAGGCCUUCUGUAGUCAAACAGGUCUUAUGAGUAAAUCAAAGUGUUUUCUCUACUGUGUUGCAGGCAAAUUACAUGCCUGUUCUGUUACUCCCACAAAAAAAUAGUUAUAAAAAUUUAUAACUACCACAAAUUAUUUGGAAGUCAUUACUGCUGUCAAAUACCACAGCUGCUCUAAAGUGUCUCUGUACAAUGGUGUCAGAUGUUCAGCUACAUUUGGGAAGUAGAACACAUGCAAGAAUUUCCAUUUCCUUUCUGUCUCUGUCAAUAGCUUUGAUGGAGAUGUUUAGCACCAAUUUUAACAGCUUCCUCUUUUUUAGGGAUACAUGGUAUUGGGGGCAUAGUAGUGUCAAAUUCACUAUGCCAAAGGGGUCAUCUUCUGUGUGAUUGCUGGUCUAAAGCCAGACUUGUGCUAUUGACUGAAAUUCUGUGGUUCACCCUUGUUGGCUUGAAUCUACACAAAUGUGCUUAUACUGAAGUGCAGCUUCAGGUAUGGGAAAGCAACUUGGAAGAUGGGAAUAGUCUCUGGCUUUCCCAGAGCAUGGACAGCAGCAACUGUGCCUUGCCAUUCCUGACUGCAUGGGUCAUGUAACAGUCCUGUGGCAACUGCAGUUACUGAGAGUGGCUAGGACAACCUUUGAGUUAAAACAGUGUAAGUGAUGGGUGGGCACACAGCAGUAUUUUUUAGAAGGCCUCCUUUAAGUUUCU
rnacentral:lncRNA from 13 species